rnacentral:misc_RNA from 1 species
UGCAGUUUGUAGCCGUAAUGUUCAUUGCGGGAGAUUGCACGCGCUGUGGUCACAUGAUCAGUAGCUGAUCAAAAUGGCGGCUGCAAAGGGCGCAAAAAUGUAUUCUUUGUGCGGAAACGUAUUUUUCUGCUUUCUGAUUUGUUUGGUUGGUUGUGUGAAGGAGAUAGCUUUUCCUUUUCAGGCCUGUGUUCUUGAAGAACUGUUGGGGUUUGAAAAGGAAGAGCUGCUCCAGGUUCUGUCAACUGAGAAUGCAGGGUUGGUAAUUAAGAAGAAGACUUAAAUCUUCAUAGCUGAAUUCAAUUUAUCUUCCACGACUGAAAUGAAAUGGUAUGAAAUGCAUGGUCUUAUCCGCAGCAUGAUUCAAACUUGCAUCCUAGAAGAGGAGCCAUUUCAGUUCAACUGUACUUAACAUGGAUAGUUAGAAGGUUUAAGAAUGCUAUGUAUUUCAUAAAAAGUAUUUGUUUAAAUGCAAGAUUGAGUUAUUGUUCAUUGAGUGAGCCUUAAAAUGUAUACAUGUUUACAUACUAUGCAACAUUUGGUGUUCACAAAUGAAAGGUAACGAAGUCUUACAUCUGAAACAAACAUUUCCAUGAAUUUUGUGUCUUGUAAAGGACUGGUUAACACUUGAGGAUUAAUACAUAUCUGUAUCAAUUCAAAUGUUCUAAAAUUUUGGUCAUCCACAGAAAUAAUGCUUAGGUCACUAGGGUUAUUGUCAGUAACAAAGCUUUACUUAUUAUUUGUAUAAUUGUCUCCUCAGGUUCAGCUUUACCAAAAGCACUUAUUGAGUACAUCUGUGAUAAGAUUUCCAGAAAACUAUUGUUGAUACACUUUUGAAGCUUCACAGUAGAACAGUUCAGUUCCACAAAUGAAACAUAUGUGAAAUACUUAAAACCUUAUGGAAAUGCUACAAAAUAUCAGAGUUUGUUAAGAAUAUUUGGAAAUUUUGUUUAUUGACUGAAUUUUUACUAUGUACAAACAAAUAUGCAGCAAAGUUUGAAAAAAUAUUUCACAGAUAUAUAACAUACUGACUUCAAAUACCAAAAUUUCCAUUGCAUAGGUUUCCAUGCUGUUGUCAUUUGUCUGUGUGACUUAUGGUAGUGGUUGGAUACUGAUCGUGUGAACUGUCUUACAUCAGUGUUCAACUGGUAUUGUAAGUUAUGGGGAUAACUCAACACAAUGAAUAAUUUUACCAAGGUUUUUUUAGCUCACCAGAGCCAGAAGCUCAUGGUGAGCUUUUGUGACUGCCCG